ACGCUCGACACCUACGGUAGGCAGCAGUGGGGAAUAUUGCACAAUGGGGGAAACCCUGAUGCAGCGACGCCGCGUGAGCGAAGAAGUAUUUCGGUAUGUAAAGCUCUAUCNGCAGGGAAGAAAAUGACGGUACCUGACUAAGAAGCCCCGGCUAACUACGUGCCAGCAGCCGCGGUAAUCUGAGGCGGGCUGGCAAGGC
rnacentral:rRNA from 1 species